UCUUGAGGAAAGAGUGAGGCAACAUGCUGUGAAGCAUCAGAUAUCAAAAUUCCUUGUACACACACACACACGAAAUAAUGGAAUUUUUUUCUUGGCCGUUUUCUUGAUAGCUGCAUACUGGCCUUAAGUGUGUUUUCACAUCGCACAAACGUUAGCUCAUCACUGCGCCUCAAAGUUUGCUGCAAAUUUUAAAGUUUUUGUGCAUUUUUCUAGCAAUUAAAAUCGACUUUUCGCGGCACAUUUUGUGUCAAACUAGAAAUCGCAUCACUGUUGCUAAGUUUUGUGACUAUGUUAGAAUAGAGGGGUAAGUUCAUGUUUUUAUCAAAUUAUUUUCCACUUUUUUUUUUUUUAAAUGCCUCCAUAAUAUUAAAAACCCCCAGUGUUUUAGUAUUUGACAUGGCUUACUUAAAUUGAGCUUCUAGCCUCGGUAUUCCAAAGAUUAUAUUAAAUAAAAAAUGCCUUUGAAUAAUUUAAAUUUUGUAUCGAUUUUACAUUUAUCCAAUUAUGUUUUAUCCAAAAUAUUCUUUAUUAUAUAUAUGUUGUUCUUGAAAUAAGAAACAAAUGUCUAAGCACUAAUUAAAGAAACUUAGAAGUGUCCUUUGAAAUUGGUAUUCUCUAAUACCCUUAUAUGUAUUUAUUCAUAAGAUUUAAAUUCAACUAAGAUUCUUUGAAAUGCACUCAAAAUUAAAAAUUUUGAAGGAUAAUAUUUGCAAAGGACUUUGACAAUUUCUAAAAUAAGAACAAUUUUAAAGAAAAGCUACAAUUAAUAGUGCUUCGAGUUUUUCUACAGUUUGAGAAAAGUUGCUAUUAUCGUAAAAUUUUCUAUCAAUAUACGUACAUACGUGCUCUUCAUGAACUUUGAUUCUCUGCUCCAAAUUUGUUAUUUUUUUCUUUUUCUAAGCGAUUAAUUUUUUGUACAACAAAAUAAUACUACAAUUAAGCUUUAAGUAAGAGUUAUAGCAUUUUUUAACCCAACUAUUUUAGCAUGGUUUCACUUUCCACUUAGUGUACACACAUACAUACAUACGUUUUGCGAGUAUGCACAAUAUUUGUAACACAACUUACAAAUUCGACAGUUUUCAUAAAUUAUGAAUAUUGCUGUCAAACUUGCCACAAAGUUAAACUUGCCACAAAUUUCGUCGAUUUUCGUUCAACUAGUCUUCUACUAAAGAGUUAAGUACAAAUUUAUAAUAAAAACAAAAAAAAAUUGUUUGAAGUAAAUUCGGCGACUUUGGUAUUUCAAUAUUCAAAAGAUAAUUUCAGUUUUGGAUAAUUAAAUGUUAUACGCAAAGUUGCAGGAAACUUUAGAUCGUUUCAAAGCAAAUAACAACAAACAAGUAAAACUCAACUAUCUGCGAAGGACAGAGAGCUGUCGGCACACUCAGUCCGUUUUAUUGUCAACGGUGUGGACAGUGUUUCUGCUUCUCAUUUAAACAUAAAUUGAGAAUGGCAACUCCAAAGGGUAUUUCGUACUAAAAUAAAUAUUUAGAUGAUUAUAAAAUGCUUGAAAACUUUUGGCAACACAUACGAGCAGGUAAGCACAUUUUUGUGCAUAAAAUUGUUGAGUAAGUAAGCGAGAAAAUUCUGCAAAUUUCAUUCCGAAAUAAAUUGGAAGGAAUUAAAUUCUGUUGGGGAAAAUCUAUGUUUGUGUAGUUGAUUUUGAAUUAAAGUUUAGUCAUUGUGAGAAUGUUUUAUAUAUUUUUUUCUGCGUAACUUACUUUGGUGUGAGCUUUUGCUUACAAGUUUCUAUUGCUCUGCCCCCGCGUAGAGUAGUAAGCCAAGUUGGGCAUUUUUACGCAAAAAAAUUAAAUAAAUAAAAAGCUUUCUAAGUGGUUAAUAAAUGGAACAGAACUCUGUAACAAAUACACACAAAAUUUUCAAGAGGUCGGAAAAGUCCCAAAAAUAUCCAAAAAAUUUUGAAAAGCAAAAUGAAAUCGUGGUACAAAAGUCAAUUACACUAUUAAAUUAAAACGAGGAAGUUAACGAAAAUAUUUUGAAAACUCCUGGAAGAUCCUCACAAAAUAAAAUCGCUAACAUUUCCGAAAAAAAAUUCCAAAAGUUGUUAAAGAUUUCGAAAAGUUUCGAGAAGAAACGAAAAAAUCCCUACAAAACUUGCAAAAUAUACCGGAAAAAAUCUGACACAUCUUGAAUAUUUGCGUAGAACCCAAAAAAACUACGGAAAAAGUUCUGAAAACUGCCGAAAAUACUAAAAAUAUUUGAAAAGUCCUUAAUGGUCUAACAAACUGCCGUAGGUUCUUGAAAUGUAAAAUACGCAAAAUCACUAAAAAUUUUGGAUUCAAAAUGGCAAAAAAUAUGGAAAAAAUGUGUUUCUUAAUUCAAAGGAUUUUUUUCGAUUAAGUUUCAUAAAUAAUUUCCAUUUGAGGUAUUACUUGAAGUUCUCCGCAAUCUUUGCCAGCAGGUCUGCAUGAAUUCCCCCCGACUUCCUGAUCAAUGGCAUUCCUCAGUUCUUGCAGGAUUCCAAGCCGACCUUUAAAAACCUCUGCCUUGAGAUACCUCCAUAAAAAUGUGUUUCGCUAUCAGAAAUAUUCUCCUAUGGAUUCAAGUCGAAGCGCACACGAAAAGACCUCUGCAUUGAAGUCACAGACUCGUCCUUUCCUUGAAAAAAAACCUCCACUACAAAGCCUCCUCACUCUGCCGGCCACAGCAUGUUGACUACAGAAAGCCUUAUCGUUCACCCACCCAUCGAACCGACUGCCUCCUCAAGUAAAUUAAAAAAAAAA